rnacentral:rRNA from 1 species
AGUGAACGCUGGCGGUAGGCCUAACACAUGCAAGUCGAACGGCAGCACAGUAAGAGCUUGCUCUUACGGGUGGCGAGUGGCGGACGGGUGAGGAAUACAUCGGAAUCUACUUUUUCGUGGGGGAUAACGUAGGGAAACUUACGCUAAUACCGCAUACGACCUACGGGUGAAAGCAGGGGAUCUUCGGACCUUGCGCGAUUGAAUGAGCCGAUGUCGGAUUAGCUAGUUGGCGGGGUAAAGGCCCACCAAGGCGACGAUCCGUAGCUGGCCUGAGAGGAUGAUCAGCCACACUGGAACUGAGACACGGUCCAGACUCCUACGGGAGGCAGCAGUGGGGAAUAUUGGACAAUGGGCGCAAGCCUGAUCCAGCCAUACUGCGUGGGUGAAGAAGGCCUUCGGGUUGUAAAGCCCUUUUGUUGGGAAAGAAAAGCAGCAGGUUAAUACCCCGCUGUUCUGACGGUACCCAAAGAAUAAACACCGGCUAACUUCGU